CAUGCAAGUCGAGCGAACAGAUGAGGAGCUUGCUCCUUUGACGUUAGCGGCGGACGGGUGAGUAACACGUGGGUAACCUACCUAUAAGACUGGAAUAACUCCGGGAAACCGGGGCUAAUGCCGGAUAACAUGUUGAACCGCAUGGUUCAACAGUGAAAGACGGUCUUGCUGUCACUUAUAGAUGGACCCGCGCCGUAUUAGCUAGUUGGUAAGGUAACGGCUUACCAAGGCGACGAUACGUAGCCGACCUGAGAGGGUGAUCGGCCACACUGGAACUGAGACACGGUCCAGACUCCUACGGGAGGCAGCAGUAGGGAAUCUUCCGCAAUGGGCGAAAGCCUGACGGAGCAACGCCGCGUGAGUGAUGAAGGUCUUCGGAUCGUAAAGCUCUGUUGUUAGGGAAGAACAUAUGUGUAAGUAACUGUGCACAUCUUGACGGUACCUAACCAGAAAGCCACGGCUAA
rnacentral:rRNA from 1 species